CUAUUAGAACAAAACAUCCACAUUGCUCAAAGAGAAGUCGAAUCAUUGCAGUAUAGUAAACUAAUGGGGGUAAUGGAGAAGGAAUGUCCUCGCAGAGCAUGAUUCAUGGAAAACAUUCCACUGGACAGCCUUAGCAUUCACAUGUGGAAGAUACGAAACAGUCUUUUUUCCAAAGAGGGAUUCUGAGUCUUCUAACAAUAAAUCUGCUUCAUUUAUUAUGACUAAAGCUAAUUAUUGCAAAUAGGAUUUUUUUUCCAUAUUGGGGCAAACAAUUGUUGGAGACUAUAGUUUAAUAAAUUAUGAAUAUAGUGGUUCAAAUACAAUAGUGUUCUUUUACUUAAUAUUAGAGUUCUAAAUGAUUUAAAAUCAAUAGAGUGAAAAAUUAAUAUAUUUUCAAAAUCCUAGAAAAUGUAGUUUUCCAUAAAUGUCUAAAAAUAUGUUAUCUUUGUAAUUGUAUACAUAUAGUAAUUUCAUUUAAAAAUUUAGUCAUAUCACUCACAUAAAAAUAAUAACUUCAACCUAGACAAUUUUAUAUUCUUAUGAAUAUUUAGUCAAGAAGUUAGAGCCUAUUGAACAGAUACCCAGUAUCCCCUUUCUCUCCCCAUUCCCUUCAGUUUAUGUAAAACUGUAAUCUCCACGGUUUCAGGAAUAUUAUCUUGUUCAUUACAGUGGGUUUCAGAGAACUGUAAGCAUAACAAGUGCUUGUUAACAUGUAUUAAUGACUGGUUUUAUUUUGUUAGGCACCCUCAUCAAAUACUGAUUAGCCAAAUAGAGUUAUAUCCAGAUUUAUGCUAAUAAAAAUAAAUUUUUAACAACC
rnacentral:lncRNA from 1 species